rnacentral:rRNA from 1 species
GACGAACGGCUGGCGGCGUGCUUAAAACAUGCAAGUCGAACGGACUUCUCAUGAAGCUUGCGAUUGAGAAGUUAGUGGCGGACGGGUGAGUAACGCGUGGGCAACCUGCCCCUGAGCCCGGGAUAACAGUUCGAAAGGACUGCUAAGACCGGAUAUACUUGCGGUGAAGCAUUUCACUGCAAGGAAAGGGAACGCUCAGGGAUGGGCCCGCGUCCCAUUAGCUAGUUGGUGAGGUAACGGCCCACCAAGGCGACGAUGGGUAGCCGGCCUGAGAGGGUGAACGGCCACACUGGGACUGAGACACGGCCCAGACUCCUACGGGAGGCAGCAGUUGGGAAUCUUCGGCAAUGGGCGCAAGCCUGACCGAGCAACGCCGCGUGAGUGAUGAAGGUUUUCGGAUUGUAAAGCUCUGUCUUCCGGGACGAUAAUGACGGUACCGGAGGAGGAAGCCACGGCUAACUACGUG